GAUCCUACAGUAGAUCAGCAGGUCUGAACUGAUCCUACAGUAGAUCAGCAGGUCUGAACUGAUCCUACAGUAGAUCAGCAGGUCUGAACUGAUCCUACAGUAGAUCAGCAGGUCUGAACUGAUCCUACAGUAGAUCAGCAGGUCUGAACUGAUCCUACAGUAGAUCAGCAGGUCUGAACUGAUCCUACAGUAGAUCAGCAGGUCUGAACUGAUCCUACAGUAGAUCGGCAGGUCUGAACUGAUCCUACAGCAGAUCGGCAGGUCUAAACUGAUCCUACAGCAGAUCGGCAGGUCUGAACUGAUCCUACAGUAGAUCGGCAGGUCUGAACUGAUCCUACAGUAGAUCGGCAGGUCUGAACUGAUCCUACAGUAGAUCGGCAGGUCUAAACUGAUCCUACAGUAGAUCGGCAGGUCUAAACUGAUCCUACAGUAGAUCGGCAGGUCUAAACUGAUCCUACAGUAGAUCGGCAGGUCUAAACUGAUCCUACAGUAGAUCGGCAGGUCUAAACUGAUCCUACAGUAGAUCGGCAGGUCUAAACUGAUCCUACAGUAGAUCGGCAGGUCUAAACUGAUCCUACAGUAGAUCGGCAGGUCUAAACUGAUCCUACAGCAGAUCGGCAGGUCUAAACUGAUCCUACAGUAGAUCGGCAGGUCUAAACUGAUCCUACAGUAGAUCGGCAGGUCGACUAUGAGAUGCUUUAUAAAUAUACGGCUUUAUAAAUAUUGUCUUUGUAAAAUAACCUUUAAGUGUUUCAUCGAUUUCAGACCUGUGAUGUUUUGUAUCCAGUUCAUGUUUCUGUCUCCUGCUGUGUUAGUUGUCAGUCUGGCAGGGCAGUCUGGCAAGGCAGUCUGGCAAGGCAGCCGUGUCGUUCUCCUGUUUUAGAUGAGUCGGUAGUACGAUAACAAUACAACAGUGUGUGCAUAGCAACAACUUACUUUUCAUAAACCCCCCCCCCAAAGAAAAGCCAAUUCCUCCGGAGAACGAAAGCAGCAUAUUAGGAUAACAUUGAGUUAGGAUGUUUGUUUGUUUGUUGUAAACAUUAUGUUGUGAGCUGUUUUCAAAAUGAAGUUCUGAUUCAAACUGAAAACAUGUCAAAUGUGGUGUGUUUUGUUUUGAUAGUCCAGAUGAAUAUAUUCAGUCUAAAACCUACACCAAUAUAAAUAUUGACCUGAUGAUGAUACUGUUUUUAUAUGAAUGAUGUGCUUUACAUACUGAUUAGUGCUGCUAAGCUUUGCUUCAGCUAAAUGUUUAUUUUAUUUGUAAUCAUCACACUGACCUCAAGGGUUGGUCUGAUCUAGUUGGCUUUAGGACGGGUGUUUAUGUGUUGGACAUACAGGGGCCAGUUUCCCAGACAUACAGGGGUCGGUUUCCCAGACAUACAGGGGCCAGUUUCCCAGACAUACAGGGGUCGGUUUCCCAGACCCAGGUUAAGCUUAUUCCUGGACUGAAAAGAACUUUAAACUUUUUUUUAAAAUUCUCAAUUGAGAAUGCUUUUUUUUCUUAGAAGUGGCUUAACCUUUUGUCUGAGUAAACAGACCCAAACUGUAGCACCCUGUUUAGUCCUGACUUCUAUUUUAGUCAAAUAUUCCCAUUGACAUCAAUGCAAACUGAUGAGUGAAAAUGUGAAAAUGCGCAUCCUCCCUUUUCAAAUAUUCCCAUUGACAUCAAUGCAAACUGAUGACAAUCCUCCCUUUUCAAAGAAGACAUGCCCUUGAGGAACAAAUGAUUGAAUAUGUACAUGUACCACAUUGUUGUUGAUGAAUUAGCUGAUUCUUCUAGGCAGUGAGUAAGACCUGUGGAAACAAAAAUCCUUUAGAGAUCUCAACGGAAGUUAGUUUAAACUAGGCUGCAAUAAUUUAGUGACAAAAUGAAACGAGUCACCUCACUUGGUCAUGGUUUUAAAAUGUUUUUCUCUGACCUGUGUCAUGUAUAUGGAGCUGUACAGCUUUAACAUAAUAGUGGAGAACUCCCAGCCAAUAGUAUCAGCCUCUCAGGGUUGAAGGUCACUGAUAUGCAAAUGAGCUGUAUGUUCCUGUUCUGACUUGUGCCUGCUGUGCACCCUGUUAUUUCACCAUGCUUGUGUAUUGAUAAACAUUUAAAAGUAGUAGCA